rnacentral:rRNA from 1 species
CCUACGGGUGGCAGCAGUGAGGAAUAUUGGUCAAUGGACGAGAGUCUGAACCAGCCAAGUAGCGUGAAGGAUGACUGCCCUAUGGGUUGUAAACUUCUUUUAUAUGGGAAUAAAAUGUUCCACGUGUGGGAUUUUGUAUGUACCAUAUGAAUAAGGAUCGGCUAACUCCGUGCCAGCAGCCGCGGUAAUACGGAGGAUCCGAGCGUUAUCCGGAUUUAUUGGGUUUAAAGGGAGCGUAGGUGGAUUGGUAAGUCAGUUGUGAAAGUUUGCGGUUCAACCGUAAAAUUGCAGUUGAAACUGGCAGUCUUGAGUACAGUAGAGGUGGGCGGAAUUCGUGGUGUAGCGGUGAAAUGCUUAGAUAUCACGAAGAACUCCGAUUGCGAAGGCAGUUCACUGGACUGCAACUGACACUGAGGCUCGAAAGUGUAGGUAUCAAACAGGAUUAGAUACCCCUGUAGUC